rnacentral:rRNA from 1 species
GAUGAACGCUGGCGGCGUGCCUAAUACAUGCAAGUCGAACGAGGUGCUUUUGUAGCAAUACGAGAGUAUCCUAGUGGCGAACGGGUGAGUAACGCGUUGGUGACCUACCCCAAAGUGUGGGAUAACAGUCCGAAAGGAUUGCUAAUACCGCAUGUGGUCUUCGGGUUUAGAAACUGAUGACUAAAGGAGCAAUUCGCUUUGGGAGGGACCUGCGUCCCAUCAGCUAGUUGGUGAGGUAAUGGCUCACCAAGGCUACGACGGGUAGGGGACCUGAGAGGGUGACCCCCCCACAAUGGAACUGAAACACGGUCCAUACACCUACGGGUGGCAGCAGUAGGGAAUAUUGCACAAUGGGCGAAAGCCUGAUGCAGCAACGCCGCGUGUGCGAUGAAGGCCUUCGGGUCGUAAAGCACUUUUCUGGGAGAUGAGCAAGGACAGUAUCUCAGGAAUAAGUCUCGGCUAACUACGUGCCAGCAGCCGCGGUAA